GACGAACGCUGGCGGCGUGCUUAACACAUGCCAGUCGAACGGGUCUGCCCUGUUUUUUGCGGGGUGGGUCAGUGGCGAACGGGUGAGUAACACGUGAGUAACCUGCCCCUCACUUCUGGAUAACCGCUUGAAAGGGUGGCUAAUACGGGGUGUUCUGGCUGUGCCGCAUGGUGUGGCUGGGAAAGAUUCACUUUUGUGGUGUUUUGGUGGGGGAUGGGCUCGCGGCCUAUCAACUUGUUGGUGGGGUGAUGGCCUGCCAAGGCUUUGACGGGUAGCCGGCCUGAGAGGGUGGGCGGUCACACUGGGACUGAGAUACGGCCCAGACUCCUGCGGGAGGCAGCAGUGGGGGGUAUUGCACAAUGGGCGGAAGCCUGAUGCAGCGACGUCGCGUGAGGGAUGGAGGCCUUCGGGUUGUGAACCUCUUUCGCCGGUGAAGAAGGUCCUGCUCUUUGUGGUGGGGUUGACGGUAGCCGGGUUAUGAAGCGCCGGCUAACUACGUG
rnacentral:rRNA from 1 species